UGUCAUGGCGGGUUGCGCAGGGACCCUUCGGGGUGCUGGGUUUCUUCUUACCGGUCCGCCAACCUUGUGCAAUCCGUCACCCAA
rfam:Pseudomonas brenneri strain RGCB 108 Contig010, whole genome shotgun sequence.